AGUGGAGGACGGUGGACCCAAAGUCACAAACACAUCUCCUUCUUCCCACUCGGCUGUUCCGCUGUCCGCAUUCUUCUUUCCCCAAAUCAGAAGCAUACCCUAGCCGCCGCUACCACUGUCUUCAAGCCACUUCUGCCACCACUACUGCCGGCCUUCGAUUGAAGAGCCCUUUCUCUCCGACUCCCAGUUUGUUGGCCACUUCUGCCACCACCACUGCCGCCCUUUCUCUCCGACUCCCAGUUAGAAGCUACGGUAGGCAAAGCGAACAGGCACUCUCCGACUUCCACCACUGCCGCCCUUUCUCUCCGACGCCCAUUUCAUCAGCUCCAUUGGUGGAGGGCCUCGCGACAGGCAAAGCGAACAGGGUUAAUGGUCGAGCGUGUUUGCCACAUUUUACAUCAGGAAGCAGUUGUUCUAACGGUUCAUGUUCACUUUACAUGUCCGUAGGGUUUCCAACCGACUUUCAAGCGCGAAUCAAUUUUACACUUGAAUACUCCGCCUUUUAUCGUCAUUUUCCUCCUCUUAUUUCUCUAUUUCAAAAGCCCUAGAAAGAGGCCAAUAGGUGAAAGAAAGAACAGGAAAAUUAUACAACCAGAGAAGAAUCAAUUGCAUGGCUGCAUCGGGUUCGGUGGUGCCGGCAAACAGGACCCGUCGAGGUCCGGUGCUUGACGCCGGCGAUGAGUCGCUGGUGUUCGAGACGACCAGGGGUGUGGAGCCCAUCAUGACCUUCGACGCAAUGGGCAUACAAGAUGACUUGUUGAGAGGGAUUUAUCAAUACGGCUUCGAGAAACCCUCCGCUAUUCAACAAAGAGCUGUGGUUCCAAUUAUAUCUGGCCGUGAUGUCAUCGCUCAGGCUCAAUCUGGAACUGGGAAAACCUCAAUGAUUGGCCUAACCGUCUGCCAAGUCGUUGACACCAAAUCUUCUGAGGUGCAAGCCUUGAUAUUAUCACCCACAAGGGAAUUGGCAACACAGACAGAGCAAGUGAUACAAGCAAUUGGUGAAUUCAUAAAUGUACAGGUGCACGCAUGUAUUGGAGGCAAGAGUGUGGGAGAGGAUAUUAGGAAGCUAGAACAUGGGGUUCAUGUGGUGUCUGGGACGCCUGGCAGAGUUUGUGAUAUGAUAAAAAGAAGAACACUCCGAACAAGGGCUAUUAAGUUGUUGAUUCUUGAUGAAUCAGAUGAGAUGUUGAGCCGUGGGUUUAAGGAUCAAAUUUAUGAUGUUUACAGAUAUCUUCCUCCAGAACUUCAGGUCGUAUUGAUUUCUGCUACCCUUCCGAAUGAGAUUUUGGAGAUAACGAGUAAAUUUAUGACAGACCCUGUUCGGAUCCUUGUGAAACGUGAUGAAUUGACUCUGGAGGGGAUCAAGCAAUUCUUUGUUGCUGUGGAAAAAGAAGACUGGAAAUUUGAUACCCUAUGUGAUCUUUAUGAUACCCUAACCAUCACCCAGGCUGUUAUUUUCUGCAAUACAAAGAGGAAGGUUGAUUGGCUAAGUGCAAAAAUGAUAGAGAAUAAUUUCACGGUCUCGUCUAUGCAUGGAGAUAUGCCUCAGAAGGAGCGAGACGAAAUUAUGAAACAUUUCCGAGAGGGUAAUACUCGUGUUCUUAUCACAACUGAUGUUUGGGCAAGGGGCCUUGACGUUCAACAGGUAAAAUUUAGAUUCUACAACCAGCAAUUCCCCUGCCAGCCCCAACUCCCCCCUCCCCUGCGGGCCCCAAAAAAGCCCUCCUUUCAUCUUAUUCUUUCUUUUGGAUUUUACAUUUUGAAGCUAGUUCUUUGUCCCUUUUUUUUUAUUUGUCUGCAUGAUUUUUCUCAAAUGCUUAACCUUGUAAGUGGAAAUUCACUUGUAGUCUUUUGCUCAGUUUUCCCACCCGCUUAUGGAAAUAGUGAUUGUGGAAAAAGUUGGUUAAUAUUCGAAAGCAUGUUUCUUUGGAAAGCCAUAAUCUGUCACCUUGUCCAUCUCCUAAACUGUCACCAGUUUUUAUCAUCUUAUAAUAAACAGCUAUAUUAAGCUUAUUUUGUGCGACUAUGAAAGGCCAAACUUGUCCGGGUGUAAAUUCGGCUAACGGAGCAAAAAACAAAUGAGGGUGGAGUCCAUGCUUAUCUGCUCAAAUCAUUUAUUGUGAGCUUUCCAUCUAGUUGAAUGGAAACUUAUCUAGUUUUAUAGCAUUGGACAGUAUUUUUUUUCUUUGAAUGUUAAUUCAUUUUAAUGUUAUUUACAAGUGGUAGACAUGGAUAUACAGUCAACAAAGGUUUAUGCAUGUAUGAUGUGUUUAUGGAGGUUGAGUAGCUGCUGCUUUUUUGACAUUGUACAUGUAAUGUAUGUGGGCUGGGUAGCUGCUUUCUUUUGAGUGCAGACUCCAUUGAACAUGGGCUUGGCAUGCAUUGCCCCUAAAACUCUUGAUUGAGUCACUUGUCUGCAUUUGACUUUUUAUCCAUAUCCAAUUGGCGAAGCAUUACAGAUCAUGAAGUCUGGUGGAGCAAAUCAUCUGGGUUAUCAUGUUAAAUUUUAGCCAAGCAUUAUGGAAUUAUUAAUUCUUUUUAGUAAAUAAAGUGCAUUAUUGAGUUGAAUAUUCUAGGAUUAUAUGGUCCUUUAUAAGUGCUGGAUGCUUCCCCCUUCCCCUCCACAUUUUUAUGUUGAAGUGGAGUUCCAUUUCUUUUGGAUUCCUCUUGGUUUGCACAACCAUUUUGGUGUCAGCAGCUCAGUAGACCAUUGUAUUACAAGCUACAGGCCCCAUCCAUAGCCAACCUAUCUUAUCCAUCCUUUCUAUCCAUCUUAGCCUUUUCCUGGCUAUCUCUGUUAGCUGUCUUCCUCACGUGGCAGCCGCUAUUGUGGCCCCAUCAGCACUUUCAAGUGUUGUAAGCAUCUCAGUCACCUGGUAUAGCAACUAGUCCCACCAUUCCCAGCCUUCAUAUGCAAAAAAUGAAGGAUUAUUUGCCAUAAAUCAUCAGUGGCAAUCUUUAGUUCAAGAAACUGGAGCCAAUUAAAUAUGAUGGGGAAGGGGUUCUGGGAAUUGCUUGGCUAGAUUAUUUUUCAGGCGAUUCUUAGUAUGUUUCUAAGUGAUUACCGUGCAUUAUGCAUAAAUUCAGAUCUUGGAUACGAAAUUGCUGUGUGCAUGUCAUUUGCAUGUUUGUUGCAGCUUUUCCAUGUUGAGUUGAUGGAACCUAACUUUUUAGUAAUUGCAUAAAUUGUAACUAGAUAAUAGGUUGCCUGGAAUUACACUUGGACUUAGCUUGGAAAUACAUCUUGUUCAAUUAAGAGAUCACUCAAAGAUGGUUUGUUAACAUAUCUGGAAACCCAGAAAUAUAUCUGGAAAUUGUCCCUCUUCCAUGAGUUUUAGGUUUAUGUGGAAUUGCAUAAUUCUUGAAAUGCAUAUGUUUCAAAGUAUAGCUUUUUUUUAAGAAAGAAUUUAACAUUAUUCACUCUGGGGCCAUUCUCACAUAAUUGACUACUUUAAGCUAGGCAAGCCUUUAAUCUUUCAAAUUCUGAGUAGCUAUUAGGGACUUAUGCUUGUUUAGCAAACCUGGGAUUUUGCAUUGACGGGCUUAAGCCAAUAAACAUUCUGAGGCUUCAAUAUUCCGCGACAGUAAUUCGAGCUUUCUUCUAGUAGUUGUGCACCUUUGUUGGAAGUUUCUUUUUAUAAACUUGUAGUUUUUCUCCUCCUAGAGAUUUUUUUUUCAGGUGUUACGAGGCUUGUCGUAAAUAAACCACCUUCUUAGAGGAGCCUGUUUGGAGAUUGAUAUGUUUUUCGGUAUAGAGCUUUAUGGUAGGAGAUUGUAUAUUUGUUUGUAUGAGAUUUAUAGGUUUUCUGUAUUUGCAUUGUAGUGUCACUGCGCUAUAUUGGCCGUAUUUACUUCUUCAUAGUUAAUGCAAUUCUCUCUUUGUUUGUCUUGGUACAUGGCUGGAGUCUGGUUAUGAGCAAUCUAAUUUUCUUGUGUUUAUUUAAUUUGUUUAAGGUGUCCCUAGUGAUUAAUUAUGACCUUCCCAACAAUCGAGAACUUUACAUCCAUCGGAUUGGUCGGUCUGGUCGUUUUGGGAGAAAGGGUGUUGCAAUAAAUUUCGUUAAGAGUGAUGACAUCAAGAUUUUAAGAGAUAUUGAGCAGUACUACAGUACCCAAAUUGAUGAAAUGCCAAUGAAUGUGGCCGAUCUCAUUUAAUUAGUAGAUAAGACAUUUUAGGGACUUCUCAACUUUCAUCUGCCUGUAUGAUUGAUUUCGUACUCGUGAAUUGGAUUGUCGUUCACUUCGUUUGUGGUGGCAAGAGAAAGCGGCUGACUGUUAAAUGGAAUAUGUGUUCGCUUAUUGAAGAGGACUGUCUCAUGCUGAAUUGGAUGUGAAGAGUUGCUCCGCAAGAUGAGAGGUUGUUCAUUUUAUUAUGAUAUGCUGAUUGAUAUGUAUUGUUGGGGUGGAUGGCAAAAGUAGUGCUGUUGACUGUGUCUUGUUAUCGUAUAUCUUUUGAACCUAAAAAGCUGGGCGCCAAGUGUAGUACUAACAGUAAUGUUGACAGGUGACUGUUUAGUGUGCUGGUCCGGCCAACUUUUUUGUUAUGUAUGGAUCUUCGUGUAAUCUCUUGGUUGCCAACUGCAACAGAACGUUGAGAUGGCUUAUUUUUCUCUACUGCAC